GACGAACGCUGGCGGCGUGCUUAACACAUGCAAGUCGAACGGAAAGGCCUCUUUCGGGGGGUACUCGAGUGGCGAACGGGUGAGUAACACGUGAGUAACCUGCCCUUGACUUUGGGAUAACUUCAGUAAACUGGGGCUAAUACCGGAUAGGAGCUCCUGCUGCAUGGUGGGGGUUGGAAAGUUUCGGCGGUUGGGGAUGGACUCGCGGCUUAUCAGCUUGUUGGUGGGGUAGUGGCUUACCAAGGCUUUGACGGGUAGCCGGCCUGAGAGGGUGACCGGCCACAUUGGGACUGAGAUACGGCCCAGACUCCGAAGGGAGGCAGCAGUGGGGAAUAUUGCACAAUGGGUGGAAGCCUGAUGCAGCAACGCCGUGUGCGGGAUGACGGCCUUCGGGUUGUAAACCGCUUUCGCUCAUGACGAAGCUUUGUGUGACGGUAGUGGGUAAAGAAGCACCGGCUAACUACGUG
rnacentral:rRNA from 1 species